UACGUAGGGCGCAAGCGUUGUCCGGAAUUAUUGGGCGUAAAGAGCUCGUAGGUGGCGUGUCGCGUCUGCCGUGAAAGCCCAUGGCUUAACUGUGGGUCUGCGGUGGAUACGGGCAGGCUGGAGGCUGGUAGGGGCAAGCGGAAUUCCUGGUGUAGCGGUGAAAUGCGCAGAUAUCAGGAGGAACACCUGCGGCGAAGGCGGGUUGCUGGGCCGACACUGACGCUGAUGCGCGAAAGCUAGGGGAGCGAACGGG
rnacentral:rRNA from 1 species